AUCUUCAGGGCAGGGUGAAAUUCCCGAUCGGCGGUAUAGUCCGCGAGCCGGCAACGGCAGGAUUUGGUGCAAUUCCAAAACCGACAGUAUAGUCUGGAUGGAAGAAGAUG
rnacentral:ncRNA from 1 species